rnacentral:rRNA from 1 species
AUUGAACGCUGGCGGCAGGCUUAACACAUGCAAGUCGAGCGGGGUGAUGGUGCUUGCACUAUCACUUAGCGGCGGACGGGUGAGUAAUGCUUAGGAAUCUGCCUAUUAGUGGGGGACAACAUCUCGAAAGGGAUGCUAAUACCGCAUACGUCCUACGGGAGAAAGCAGGGGAUCACUUGUGACCUUGCGCUAAUAGAUGAGCCUAAGUCGGAUUAGCUAGUUGGUGGGGUAAAGGCCUACCAAGGCGACGAUCUGUAGCGGGUAUGAGAGGAUGAUCGGCCACACUGGGACUGAGACACGACCCAGACUCCGACGGGAGGUAGCAGUGGGGAAUAUUGGACAAUUGGGGGAACCCUGAUCCAGCCAUGCCGCGUGUGUGAAGAAGGCCUUAUGGUUGUAAAGCACUUUAAGCGAGGAGGAGGCUCUUUUGGUUAAUACCCAAGAUGAGUGGACGUUACUCGCAGAAUAAGCACCGGCUAACUCUGUGCCAGCCGCCGCGGUAA